GUAGGUGGCAAGCGUUGUCCGGAAUUAUUGGGCGUAAAGCGCGCGCAGGUGGUUCUUUAAGUCUGAUGUGAAAGCCCCCCGGGCUCAACCCGGGGAGGGUCAUUGGAAACUGGGGAACUUGAGUGCAGGAGAGGAAAGUGGAAUUCCACGUGUAGCGGUGAAAUGCGUAGAUAUGUGGAGGAACACCAGUGGCGAAGGCGACUUUCUGGCCUGUAACUGACACUGAGGCGCGAAAGCGUGGGGAGCAAACAGGAUUAGAUACCCUGGUAGUCCACGCCGUAAACGAUGAGUGCUAAGUGUGGGGGGUUUCCGCCCCUCAGUGCUGCAGCUAACGCAUUAAGCACUCCGCCUGGGGAGUACGGUCGCAAAGACUG
rnacentral:rRNA from 1 species